GAUGAAGAACGUAGCGAAAUGCGAUAAGUAAUGUGAAUUGCAGAAUUCAGUGAAUCAUCGAAUCUUUGAGCGCACAUUGCGCCCCCUGGUAUUCCGGGGGGCAUGCCUGUUCGAGCGUCAUUACAACCCUCAAGCUCUGCUUGGUAUUGGGCCCCGCCAGUUCUGGCGGGCCCUAAAGUCAGUGGCGGUGCCUUCCGGCUCCGAGCGUAGUAAUUCUUCUCGCUCUGGAGACCCGGUUGUGUGCUUGCCAACAACCCCCAAUUUUUUAAGGUUGACCUCGGAUCAGGUAGGGAUACCAGCUGAACUUAAGCAUAUCAAAAGCGGAGGA
rnacentral:misc_RNA from 1 species